rnacentral:rRNA from 1 species
AGUGAACGCUGGCGGUAGGCCUAACACAUGCAAGUCGAACGGCAGCACAGGAGAGCUUGCUCUCUGGGUGGCGAGUGGCGGACGGGUGAGGAAUACAUCGGAAUCUGCUUUUUCGUGGGGGAGAACGUAGGGAAACUUACGCUAAUACCGCAUACGACCUACGGGUGAAAGCAGGGGAUCUUCGGACCUUGCGCGAUUGAAUGAGCCGAUGUCGGAUUAGCUAGUUGGCGGGGUAAAGGCCCACCAAGGCGACGAUCCGUAGCUGGGCUGAGAGGAUGAUCAGCCACACUGGAACUGAGACACGGUCCAGACUCCUACGGGAGGCAGCAGUGGGGAAUAUUGGACAAUGGGCGCAAGCCUGAUCCAGCCAUACCGCGUGGGUGAAGAAGGCCUUCGGGUUGUAAAGCCCUUUUGUUGGGAAAGAAAUCCAGCUGGUUAAUACCCGGUUGGGAUGACGGUACCCAAAGAAUAAGCACCGGCUAACUUCGUGCCAGCAGCCGCCGUAA